UGAUUCGAUGGCUGGUAAAGUGUAUUCAAAGUUUAAUCUUUUGCCGGGUAGGAUUGCCAAGAUGAUCUGUCCAAAUUUGAUUAUCUCCUCACUUCAAGUUUUUUCUUUUCCUCCAACGUAAGUUAGAAAUAAUAGUAAAUUGUGAUGUUAUGGUUUUAUGAAGUACGGUCGAAAAUUUAAAUAACAUAUAGAAUGUCGAUCAAAAUUUUUAUUGAUAUUAUGCCUACAUAUGUGUUCACAAUUUCAUGUCAAGUUGUAUGAACCAAAUUAAGAGGGGUUUUGAUUACAAAUCCAACAUGCAAUGAUUCUGUGGUAAAUCUUGCGAGCACUAAAGAUAUUUUUUUGCGGGCACUAAAGAUAUUGUUUGCGGGCUCUAUAGAUAUUUUUUUACCCACAAAUAGAUGUAAUUGUGUUCGUUGGUUGAAUAUUAAAAUUUUAUUUUGAGAUUUGUUUUAAUACAAGGAUAAAGAUUAUAUGAUUUGGAUGAUUUUAAAUUUUAAUGUAUUUUUGUUAUGUUUUUAGUUACAAUGGAAAUUGAUGUGGUAUUUUAUAUUUGAAGUCAUUUUUCAAAUGUACUUCCUAAAUAUAAUAUUUAGGACAAACCCGUCACAUGUUUUCACCCGCCUUCCAUAUUAACAAAUUUGAAUACAUUAUAUGGGAAUUAUAGAGAAUGACGUUGACAGUUCUGAUAAGCGUUUAUGCAUCUAUAUAAAUAUUUAAUUAUAAAUUCGGAUUAAAAAUUAAACAUGUCCUUAGUAAACACAACAAAUAUGUAUUGAAAUAAAGUUAUAUAUUUUGCAAAAAAAAUAUUUGGAUUGGAUAAAGGGUAUGGUAAGUACGUUGCUAUUUGUUAUUCUUUUUUAAAGCUUUAAAAUCGUUUAGUCUUUGGAAUGAAGAAGACUAAAUAUAGAGAAGAGAGUACUCAUCAGAAGUAAUUAAAGAGUAAAUAAUAGAGGUUAAAAAUUGAAAUCUUCAUUGUUAAGAGAGUAGAGUGGAAAUAUAAAUCGAGUAAAAGACAGAAGAGAGAUCCAAGUUCAUGGAAUGCGUAGUUAGGGUUUGAAUCUAUUGAGUGGGGGUUUGACCUAAUGAGGGGAGUAUUCUAUCCAGGAUUGAAUUUGUUUCAGUUUAAUAUACCUUCUCUAGGUUUCACUUUCAAAUCAUAACUAACUCCAUUUUUUUUGCUUUCUAUUUUUUUUUUUUUGCAUUUUAUUUUAUUUGGCUUUACACAUAUUAAUUCAUGGUGUUUAUGUAUGGUUAUAGGUUACGGAUGCAACGUCGUUAAACAAUUACAGGACAAUUAAAUUGCUGAUUCAAUCGAACAUAUGGUAUGAACAUGGUUCGUUUCACGGGGUGUUUCGGUGUCUUGCCUUGAAUCAAGGCGUGUAAAAACGUUAUGUGUGAUCCUUAUACACCAGCUGGUGUUCCAAUUCCAACCAAUAAGAGGCACAACGCUGCUAAAAUUUUCAGACACCCAUCGUUGCCUCCGAGGGGCCUUGGUAUGCUCAUCUUCUUCUUUUUUAGCUAUACAUAUUAUUUUCGUUACUAUAAAUUCUAAUAGUGUUAUUUUUUUUAAACGAUUGUAUGUUUUGGAUGAAUGAAAGCAACCACGAUGCAUGAAGAAGAUUUAGGUGAUGUUUCAAUUAAUCUUUUAUCUUUAAUUUAUCGAUUUUCUAAUUUUACAAAAAUGUUCUCACCGAGUAGAAUAUACUUUUGAGUUUUGAGUUAAAUCUUUCACAGUCUGUUGUGGAUUAGCAACGUUUCAAGCCAUAUUAACUAUUGUGUUGUGGCAGUUCGAAAGAUUCAUAUAAAUUGGACUAUUGCUACAAA